UUCCUUCAUUUCGCUCUGCCUUCUCUCUUCAUGUCCGUCUGAUUAACCCAUCAGGUUCCUUCUCACUCUCUCCUCUGUCGGUGUAUUUAAGCUCCCUGGUUUACAUUGUUCUCCCUCUGGCUUCUCCCAUUGCACUUCGUCAUUGUUUUACAAACUUGCCUCCAGUUUCUCUUCCCUGUCAUCCUCACGUAUCCUGUCCUACAUACUCCAGAACGGUGGGCGACUUUCUGCACCUUAAGCUGCCAGCACAAAGCAACGACGUGAACCGAUGAACAGGCGUGUCACUAAAGGCAAAUCAGAUCGGUGCAAAUUCUGACCACAGUUUGGCCAUGAGGGCCGGGCUGCUGGUCCAGGAUGCUGCUGGUCCAGGAUGCUGCUGGUCCAGGAUGCUGCUGGUCCAGGAUGCUGCUGGUCCAGGAUGCUGCUGGUCCAGGAUGCUGCUGGUCCAGGAUGCUGCUGGUCCAGGAUGCUGCUGGUCCAGGAUGCUGCUGGUCCAGGAUGCUGCUGUGUGAAAUGGGUCACUCCACUGUGUCUGCUGGCGAUUCGCUCAUGUUGGAGCUGCUGUCCAUCUACCUGUUGGCAAACGUUUGCAGUGGAAUACUUUUGGUAUUUACUAAAAGUCUGAUCAGUUUAUGUUGCUUUGAUUUAACUUUAGCACUGCAGCGUUACAUCCUCUAGACUUUGACUCUUUUUCCAUUCACUCAAUUGUUUUCAAUAUACUCAACCCUUACAUGCUUUUUUCCUCAUUGCUGUUUAUUUCUCCCUAAUUUGUGAGCUUCUCUUGAAGUGUUGGAUGUUUGGUUUCAUUCUUUUCUAUGAAUUCUGCCAGGCUGAAAUCACUUGCAUAACAAUUUCCUCAUUGACUCAGUCAUUAGUAAUGCAUUGAACAUCUUGAAGAAGGAUGAAAAGAUCUGCAUAUAACUGAAUAAAUUUAGAUUUUUAAGUUAUAUCCAUAUUAGAAAGGAUGCACUGAAAGACAAGUUGAAUGACAAAGAUUAAGGAGGGAAAGAAAUGAAUUUAGAAACCCAUUUGCAUCGAUCUCCUUCAAUUCUCCUCUCUGUACUUCCAUCAGGAUUCUGUCCAUCCUUGGCUUGGUUUGUGGUGAACCACACGGUGAACUGCAGGCCAAACCUAGUGGCUGUUUUCUUAUAAACCUCACGGCAGCAGCACACAAUGUCACGCUGGGCGGCCAACCGCUGCAGAACUCCAGUCAAAACAACUCCAUCAAGCAGCUGCUGAAAAACCCUGAAAAUUGUGUGACUGCCACAAUCUGCAGAGGAAAACAAAUCUUCCACUAACGAAAAGCCACAGCAACAACAUAGGUGAUCCGAAUCUAGACGACAUUAAUGUUUUGAGCAUUUUCAGGCAUUUCAAAUGCAAUUUCAUAACUUGGGUAUUUUCUGCACCAGCACCACUCUCUGCCAUAAAAACAUGUUUUUGUCCCCACUUAUUUUUCCAUCUUGGAAUACCUCCUGCCCACUGGUCCCUGCUAAUUACAGCAUACAUUUCAUUAAUCCCAAUCCGUGUCCUGUUAAACGCUGACAGAACCUGAACACAGUUCCCUGAGGGAGCAGCAGCCUGAAGCUAAUGCCAUCAGACGUGAACAGCAUUGCUGCUGCGGUGAUAAUAAGCUGAGAGUCGUUUAUAAAAACCAGGCUGGACAUGUUGACCACACCGCAUGCUGCUGCAGACGCCGUCUGCGGCAGUUGGCAUGUGAAAACCAUGCAGCUCCAGUUACGGUCACAUUUGUUUUGCCAAAAGUAACUAAACUAUUAAAAGAUUUACAAAGCAAAAUAUUCAGGAAAAUUUGAUUUUACUCUUCAAAACAACAAGAAAACAAGAAAACUGCAAACCAGUGUCUUAAUUUGUAAAUGUUCUGAUUUGCUGGCCAGGCUUUUGAUUUCAUGCUAAACUCAAAAGAAGGAAAAAAGUAAAACCGGUUUGAUUAGUUCUAUGUUUUGUUACAAACUAAUCACCCUGUAUAAUCCUCUUUUGCAUGUCAUGAAAGUCCUGUGGCCAAACAAAUAUUUAAUUUUUCAUUCUAACUAGAUUCCUGAAAACAAAGAGACAGAAAAAGAAUCAGAUUUUCAUUUUAAGCUCUUGGUCUUUGUUUUUUUUUUGUUUUUUUUAACUACUUACCAAUGGUAGCUAAUGACUGGAUCCAGUCACACUGUGCUUUCGAACCAAAAGUAAAGACAAAUGUGAAAUACAUGUAAAAAACUCACUCUUUCUUCUUUUUUGUGGACAUAUUUGCACACGAGUGAGAAGCAGUGACCUGUACUGAUGUUUCUGAAUAAAGUGAUUCUAAAAA